CAUGGAAGAGGAUGAUCACCAGAAUGGAAGUCUGGAAGCCAUUUCCUCAAAGGAACUUUUGAGGAACUUGGGAAAUUAACUUGAAAUUUCUAGGAGAUUCUAAUGCAGGUGGUCCAUGGACACCACUUUGAGAAAUCCUGGAAUAUCACAGAAAGCCCCUGAAGAAAGGUGAUGGGGUCUCUAUCAGCCUCUCAGGGAUGACAACUGUUGACUACAAUCAGGAUGACAACUGAGAAGCAAGCAAGUGUUCUUUGCACAGGACUGAUGUCUGAAGCGGAAGUGUCUGUCCAUCUUGUAACCAAAAUGAGAGCCACAUGUCAAGAAUGAUGAAACAGAAACAUAAAAGUUCCUUGAAGACAUUCUUGAGCAGCUCCAUCAACCCUACUUUGUCUUUUCUAUAGAUCAUGCCAUUUAUCAACUCCAAACACUUUCCUGUUUAAUGAUUUCAGCUUUGAAUAGUAUUUGUCUUAAAUAUCCGUCUGGGUUAGUAUCUGCAACUCAUUUUACUCUGCCCU